rnacentral:rRNA from 1 species
UUGGAACGCGGCUUCGGCCAAGUGAAAAGAUGGAGAGCGUCGGACGGGUGAGUAACGCGUAGGCAACCUGCCCUUUGCAGAGGGAUAACCACUGGAAACGGUGAUUAAAACCUCAUAAAGCGGGAGAUUCACAUGGAUUUUCCGUCAAAGAUUUAUCGGCAAAGGAUGGGCCUGCGUCUGAUUAGCUGGUUGGUGGGGUAACGGCCUACCAAGGCAACGAUCAGUAGCCGACCUGAGAGGGUAAUCGGCCACAUUGGAACUGAGACACGGUCCAAACUCCUACGGGAGGCAGCAGUGGGGAAUAUUGCACAAUGGGGGAAACCCUGAUGCAGCAACGCCGCGUGAAGGAAGAAGGCCUUUGGGUCGUAAACUUCUGUCCUAAGGGAAGAUAAUGACGGUACCUUUGGAGGAAGCCCCGGCUAACUACGUGCCAGCAGCCGCGGUAAUACGUAGGGGGCGAGCGUUAUCCGGAAUUAUUGGGCGUAAAGAGUGCGUAGGCGGUUUUUUAAGCGCGGGGUGAAAGGCAAUGGCUUAACCAUUGUUAGCCCUGCGAACUGGGAGACUUGAGUGCAGGAGAGGAAAGCGGAAUUCCUAGUGUAGCGGUGAAAUGCGUAGAUAUUAGGAGGAACACCAGUGGCGAAGGCGGCUUUCUGGACUGUAACUGACGCUGAGGCACGAAAGUGUGGGGAGCAAACAGGAUUAGAUACCCUGGUAGUCCACACCGUAAACGAUGAGCACUAGGUGUCGGGGUCGCAAGACUUCGGUGCCGCAGUUAACGCAUUAAGUGCUCCGCCUGGGGAGUACGCACGCAAGUGUGAAACUCA